rnacentral:rRNA from 1 species
GAUUUCUGGGCUCAAGAAUUUUGCCGGCCACGGUUUCGUGUGUUAGUGCUUGAUGUUCUGGCCAUCCUUCCAAUUGCUACUGGCUAUUCUUCAUUGAUUGGUCAGUGGUAUUGGAUCUUUUACUUUGAAAAAAUUAGAGUGUUUCAAGCAGGCUUUAUGCUAUGAAUACAUUAGCAUGGAAUAAUAAUUUAGGACUUCGGUUCUAUUUUGUUGGUUUCUAGGACUGAAGUAAUGAUUGAUAGGGAUAGUUGGGGGUGCUAGUAUUCAGCGGCCAGAGGUGAAAUUCUCGGAUUCGCUGAAGACUAACUUAUGCGAAAGCAUU